CGGGGGGUGCCUUUAACAUGCAAGUCGAACGGUAACAGGGAGCUUGCUCCGCUGACGAGUGGCGAACGGGUGAGUAAUACAUCGGAACGUGCCCAGUAAUGGGGGAUAGCUCGGCGAAAGCCGGAUUAAUACCGCAUACGCCCUGAGGGGGAAAGUGGGGGACCGCAAGGCCUCACGUUAUUGGAGCGGCCGAUGGCUGAUUAGCUAGUUGGUAGGGUAAAGGCCUACCAAGGCGACGAUCAGUAGCUGGUCUGAGAGGACGAUCAGCCACACUGGGACUGAGACACGGCCCAGACUCCUACGGGAGGCAGCAGUGGGGAAUUUUGGACAAUGGGGGAAACCCUGAUCCAGCAAUGCCGCGUGUGCGAAGAAGGCCUUCGGGUUGUAAAGCACUUUUGUCAGGGAAGAAAUCCUUUGGGCUAAUACCCUAGGGGGAUGACGGUACCUGAAGAAUAAGCACCGGCUAACUACGUGCCAGCAGCCGCGGUAAUACGUAGGGUGCAAGCGUUAAUCGGAAUUACUGGGCGUAAAGCGUGCGCAGGCGGUUGUGUAAGACAGGUGUGAAAUCCCCGGGCUUAACCUGGGAAUUGCAUUUGUGACUGCACGACUA
rnacentral:rRNA from 1 species